rnacentral:tRNA from 1 species
UGAGGAUAUAGCUCAGUUGGUAGAGUGCUUGCCUUGCAUGCACAAGGCCCUGGGUUCAAUCUCCUGUACCACAA